GCCUUCGCCAAAAAGGAGAGUUCUACCUUGAUCGAAGGACGCCGGGUUAAUAUUUCAAAAAAUUCGAAAUAACACCCUUUAAGGCCAAGGGCCUUCGCCAAAAAUAAGAGUUCGACCUUGAUCGAAUGACGACUGGUUAAUAUUUCAAAAAGUUCGAAAUAACACCCUUUAAGGCCAAUGGCUUUCGCCAAAAAGAAGAGUUUGACCUGGAAUGAAUGACGACGGGUUAAUAUUUCGACAAUUUUGAAUUAACAUCCUUUAAGGCCAAGGGCCUUCAGCAAAAAGAAGAGUUCGACCUUGAUUGAACGACGACAGGCUAAUAUUUCGACAAGUUCGAAAUAACACCCUUUAAGCUAAUGGCUUUCGCCAAAAAUAACAGUUUGACCAUGAUCGAAUAACGACGAGUUAAUAUUACGACAAGUUCGAAAUAAAACCCUUUAAGGCCAAGGGCCUUCGCCAAAAAGAAGAGUUCGACCUUGAUCGAACGAUGACAGGUUAAUAUUUUGAAAAGUUCAAAAUAACACCCUUUAAGGCCAAGGGCCUUCGCUAAAAAGAAGAGUUCGACCUUGAUCGAACGACGAUGGGUCAGUAUUUCGACAUGUUUGAAAUAACACCCUUUAAGGCCAAGGGCCUUAACCAAAAAGAAGAGUUAGACCUUGAUCGAACGAUGACAGGUUAAUAUUUCGACAAGUUCAAAAUAACACCCUUUAAGGCUAAGGGCCUUCGGCAAAAAGAAGAGUUAGACCUUGAUCGAACGAUGACGGGUUAAUAUUUCGACAAGUUCGAAAUAACACCCUUCAAGACCAAGGGCCUUUGCCAAAAAGAAGAGUUCGACCUUGAUCGAAUGA
rnacentral:lncRNA from 1 species